AUGAAGGAGCUGCCCGAUGAUGACCCUCGCAGCUUCUCGCAGCAGUGGCACGUGCACUGCGCAUACUGCAAGGGCGCAUAUGAACAGAUCGGCUACCCGAAACUGAAGAUCGACAUACACAGGUCCUGGCUCUUCUUCCCAUGGCACAGGUUGUACCUCUAUUUCUACGAGAGGAUCCUUGGUAAUCUCAUCGACGACGACACCUUUGCACUUCCGUUUUGGAACUGGGACGCGCCCCACGGCAUGACCCUCCCGGUGAUGUACACCAGUGAGUCUUCGCCACUCUAUGACUCUAAGCGUAACCCCGUGCACCUGCCACCGGCCAUUGUCAACCUCGACUACAACCACAAAGACUACCACUCCGGGACCGACCACAAGAUCACAACAGAAGACCCGAUCAAUCUGAACCUCAAGCUCAUGUACCGUCAGGCAAGUAUAUGA
rnacentral:rRNA from 1 species